AGAGGUGGCAAGCGUUGUUCGGAAUUACUGGGCGUAAAGGGCGCGUAGGCGGUUCGAUAAGUCCCGUGUGAAAUCCCUCGGCUCAACUGAGGAACUGCACGGGAAACUGACGGGCUUGAGUUCGGGAGAGGGAAGCGGAAUUCCGGGUGUAGCGGUGAAAUGCGUAGAUAUCCGGAGGAACACCGGUGGCGAAGGCGGCUUCCUGGACCGACACUGACGCUGAGGCGCGAAAGCUAGGGGGGCAAACGGGAUUAGAUACCCCGGUAGUCCUAGCUGUAAACGAUGAGUGCUGGGUGUAGGGGGUAUCUACCCCCCCUGUGCCGAAGCUAACGCAUUAAGCACUCCGCCUGGGGAGUACGGUCGCAAGGCUG
rnacentral:rRNA from 1 species